rnacentral:rRNA from 1 species
UACGGGGGGAGCAAGCGUUGUUCGGAUUUACUGGGCGUAAAGGGCGCGUAGGCGGUCAGCACAAGUCAGUUGUGAAAUCUCCGGGCUUAACUCGGAAAGGUCAACUGAUACUGUGCGACUAGAGUGCAGAAGGGGCAACUGGAAUUCGUCGGUGUAGCGGUGAAAUGCGUAGAUAUCGAGAGGAACACCUGCGGCGAAGGCGGGUUGGCUGGGCUGACACUGACGCUGAUGCGCGAAAGCGUGGGGAGCAAACGGG